rnacentral:lncRNA from 1 species
GGCUCCCAGCUGAGCAGACAGCCCGAUAUGGGGCUCCAUCCCAGGACCCUGGGAUCAUGACCUGAGCCAAAGGCUCAGGCAUGAAGCAGAGGCAGAGGCAGAGGCAGAGGCUUUAACCCACUGAGCCGCCCAGGCGCCCAGAGUGCUGGUAUUAUCCCCAUUUGAUAGAUGAAGAAAUUAACAUGCUGAAAGGUUGAAAAGCCUGCCGAUACCAUAUGCUAGUGAGCUGCAGAGCUGAGACCCAGGGCAGGCUCUGGGGUCUGUGCUCUUCCCACCACACAUUGCCUCUCAGUAUGGAAAAACGACAGGAAGGACAUUCCCUCAAAACCUUGUCUCUAGGAGGUUGCUGCCCAUCUUUCUGUCCACACAGCUUCUGACCUGAAGUACUGAGAGCUCAGACGUUGGAGCGGGCCAAGAAAUGGAGAGCUUGGAUCAACAGACUAGCAAGGAAACUGAGGGUGGACUCUGGGUGUCUACCUGGGUGAUGAACACUUUAAAAAACUGAU